rnacentral:tRNA from 1 species
GGGGAUAUAGUUCAGUUGGUAGAGUGCUUGCCUUGCAUGCACAAGAUCUGGGUUUCAAUCCCCAGCACCACCA